rnacentral:misc_RNA from 1 species
UGGGUGGCCUCUAAGACA